CACACCGCCCGUCACACCAUGGAAAGUUUGCUGUACCGGAAGUCGGUGCUUCAACCCGCAAGGGAGAUAACCGCCUAUGGUAUGGUCGAUGACUGGGGUG
rnacentral:rRNA from 1 species